rnacentral:rRNA from 1 species
GAUGAACGCUGGCGGCGUGCCUAAUACAUGCAAGUCGAGCGAACGGACGAGAAGCUUGCUUCUCUGAUGUUAGCGGCGGACGGGUGAGUAACACGUGGAUAACCUACCUAUAAGACUGGGAUAACUUCGGGAAACCGGAGCUAAUACCGGAUGAUAUUUUGAACCGCAUGGUUCAAAAGUGAAAGACGGUCUUGCUGUCACUUAUAGAUGGAUCCGCGCUGCAUUAGCUAGUUGGUAAGGUAACGGCUUACCAAGGCAACGAUGCAUAGCCGACCUGAGAGGGUGAUCGGCCACACUGGAACUGAGACACGGUCCAGACUCCUACGGGAGGCAGCAGUAGGGAAUCUUCCGCAAUGGGCGAAAGCCUGACGGAGCAACGCCGCGUGAGUGAUGAAGGUCUUCGGAUCGUAAAACUCUGUUAUUAGGGAAGAACAUAUGUGUAAGUAACUGUGCACAUCUUGACGGUACCUAAUCAGAAAGCCACGGCUAACUACGUGCCAGCAGCCGCGGUAAUACGUAGGUGGCAAGCGUUAUCCGGAAUUAUUGGGCGUAAAGCGCGCGUAGCGGUUUUUUAGUCUGAUGUGAAAGCCCACGGCUCAACCGUGGAGGGUCAUUGGAAACUGGAAAACUUGAGUGCAGAAGAGGAAAGUGGAAUUCCAUGUGUAGCGGUGAAAUGCGCAGAGAUAUGGAGGAACACCAGUGGCGAAGGCGACUUUCUGGUCUGUAACUGACGCUGAUGUGCGAAAGCGUGGGGAUCAAACAGGAUUAGAUACCCUGGUAGUCCACGCCGUAAACGAUGAGUGCUAAGUGUUAGGGGGUUUCCGCCCCUUAGUGCUGCAGCUAACGCAUUAAGCACUCCGCCUGGGGAGUACGACCGCAAGGUUGAAACUCAAAGGAAUUGACGGGGACCCGCACAAGCGGUGGAGCAUGUGGUUUAAUUCGAAGCAACGCGAAGAACCUUACCAAAUCUUGACAUCCUUUGACAACUCUAGAGAUAGAGCCUUCCCCUUCGGGGGACAAAGUGACAGGUGGUGCAUGGUUGUCGUCAGCUCGUGUCGUGAGAUGUUGGGUUAAGUCCCGCAACGAGCGCAACCCUUAAGCUUAGUUGCCAUCAUUAAGUUGGGCACUCUAAGUUGACUGCCGGUGACAAACCGGAGGAAGGUGGGGAUGACGUCAAAUCAUCAUGCCCCUUAUGAUUUGGGCUACACACGUGCUACAAUGGACAAUACAAAGGGCAGCGAAACCGCGAGGUCAAGCAAAUCCCAUAAAGUUGUUCUCAGUUCGGAUUGUAGUCUGCAACUCGACUACAUGAAGCUGGAAUCGCUAGUAAUCGUAGAUCAGCAUGCUACGGUGAAUACGUUCCCGGGUCU